GCGGCGGACGGGUGAGUAACACGUGGGCAACCUGCCCUGCAGACUGGGAUAACUUCGGGAAACCGGAGCUAAUACCGGAUAACACCGAAAACCGCAUGGUUUUCGGUUGAAAGGCGGCUUUUAGCUGUCACUGCAGGAUGGGCCCGCGGCGCAUUAGCUAGUUGGUGAGGUAACGGCUCACCAAGGCGACGAUGCGUAGCCGACCUGAGAGGGUGACCGGCCACACUGGGACUGAGACACGGCCCAGACUCCUACGGGAGGCAGCAGUAGGGAAUCUUCCGCAAUGGACGAAAGUCUGACGGAGCAACGCCGCGUGAGCGAAGAAGGUCUUCGGAUCGUAAAGCUCUGUUGUCAGGGAAGAACAAGUACCGUUCGAACAGGGCGGUACCUUGACGGUACCUGACNAGGAAGCCACGGCUAACUACGUGCCAGCAGCCGCGGUAAUAC
rnacentral:rRNA from 1 species